GGCUUAAAGUGGUAAAACUUUUCAAUGCUACUCGCAUGCGCGAGCGAAAUAUUUGAACAACGCUGUAUAUUCUUGGACUGUUAAAGGUCUGAGCAGAUUGGAAUGCAGUCGCUGGGUGCACUGUAUGUUGUCGGCAGACUGGUUGUAAGGAGAAUAGUAUUCCGAUGUUAGGUAAUGUGAAGUGACUGCAAACUGUACAGAUCGAUUGUUAAAUUAAAUUAAAAUUUGUUGUUUAUUUUUUUAUUAAUGUUAAAUUAAUUAAUUUUGCAUUAUGAUUGUUAGAUUAAUUAAAAGAGAAUAUAUAAGACAUUUGCGUGAA